UGUACUUUGGUUGUGAUUUUCAGAACGAGUUUUCAUAUGGGUUUAAUAUGUUUGGUCCUCAUUCGGAUCUGAGUUCGCCGGUGGAGUCGGUUGUUGGUUCGACUGAGACAGAGAGUGAUGAAGAAGACUAUAUCACUGAGUUAACCCGACAGAUGGCUCAGUCCACUCUGGAAAACCGCAAGGUGUAUAAAUUGUCGAGUUCUCCUCAGUCAACUUUAUGUGGUGUGCUUGGGUCUAAACAGGGGUUACAGAGUGAGAGCCCAAAUAGUCCUUUUCAGGUUUGUUCUCCGACGGAAGUUCAGGGGGUGAAGGGGACUGUGGAUUUGCUGUAUGCUGCUGUUGGUGAGGUUGCAAGAAUGAAGAAAAUGGAGGAAGAGGUUGGAAUUUGGGCUCCUCCAAGGAAGCCAACUCCAGUCUAUGUAGACCCUAAAAUGUCUCAACCAAAUCUUGGCUCAUUUUACUCUAAACAGCCACCACUCUCUUACCAGCAGUUUAAAAUGGCUCAAUUUCAGCGUUUGAAGCAA
rnacentral:misc_RNA from 1 species